rnacentral:rRNA from 1 species
GGAAUAUUGGACAAUGGGGGCAACCCUGAUCCAGCCAUGCCGCGUGCGUGAAGAAGGCCUUAGGGUUGUAAAGCGCUUUCACUGGUGAAGAUGAUGACGGUAGCCAGAGAAGAAGCACCGGCUAACUCCGUGCCAGCAGCCGCGGUAAUACGGAGGGUGCAAGCGUUAAUCGGAAUUACUGGGCGUAAAGCGCGCGUAGGUGGUUUUGUAAGUCGGAUGUGAAAGCCCUGGGCUCAACCUGGGAAUUGCAUUCGAUACUGCUUAACUAGAGUAUGGUAGAGGGAAGUGGAAUUUCCGGUGUAGCGGUGAAAUGCGUAGAUAUCGGAAGGAACACCAGUGGCGAAGGCGACUUCCUGGGCCAAUACUGACACUGAGGUGCGAAAGCGUGGGUAGCA